CUUAACUCUGUCUGACACACCCACCACUAACCUAGCUCAGCACAGAUGCUGAAGGUAACCGGCUCCACCUAGCCUACUGCUCCCAAUAAGUGACAAAAUAACGCCAACAUUUUCCUAUUUACAUUGUGUGAUCUGUAUAGUCACAGUGUGUACAAAUAACAAGGUCACUAAGCUUUUACUAU